AUUGAACGCUGGCGGCAUGCCUUACACAUGCAAGUCGAACGGCAGCACGGGGCAACCUGGUGGCGAGUGGCGAACGGGUGAGUAAUGCAUCGGAACGUGCCAUUGAGUGGGGGAUAACGUAGCGAAAGUUGCGCUAAUACCGCAUAUUCUGUGAGCAGGAAAGCAGGGGACCGCAAGGCCUUGCGCUCUUUGAGCGGCCGAUGUCAGAUUAGCUAGUUGGUGAGGUAACGGCUUACCAAGGCUACGAUCUGUAGCGGGUCUGAGAGGAUGAUCCGCCACACUGGAACUGAGACACGGUCCAGACUCCUACGGGAGGCAGCAGUGGGGAAUUUUGGACAAUGGGCGCAAGCCUGAUCCAGCCAUGCCGCGUGAGUGAAG
rnacentral:rRNA from 1 species